rnacentral:misc_RNA from 1 species
UCCUUCACCCAAGAAGAAAAGGGUUAAACAAAUUUCUAAUUCCAAUUAGUAGCUCCACUAAUCCAACUCAUGCAAACGAAUGAAUAUAUAUGGUGUCAUAAUCAUUCACAAAACAAAAGGAAGAUGGAAAAAUGUAUCAUAAUCUAACUGAGCUGAAGACUAAAAAUUCAGCUCGACUGUGUUUACCUAAGAGAGUUCCUAGCAAGGCCUACUAGGCAUUAGCAACACAAUUAACUGCCAUCCUAUAGAUUUUGAGACUGGAGAUAACCAAUGAAAGAAUCAAUACAAGAAACCCAUCUUUUCUGUUACAAUUUAGAUCGAGCAUCCAUACUUUACAACGCCUCCCACGACCCAUGAAUAUGGAUGAACACCAUACAGAGAUGUAACAAGGGAUGUGAAUUGAGGCAUAUGAUGGAAGUGGAAAAUGAUGUCAUUCCAAGAAACAUUGGCAUCUGAAAAUGACUGCUGAAUCAUCAGCCAAAUAAGAUCUUUGCAUUAAUACAUUCCCUUGAAAACA